GAAAUGCGAUAAGUAGUGUGAAUUGCAGAAUUCAGUGAAUCAUCGAAUCUUUGAACGCACAUUGCGCCCCUUGGUAUUCCAUGGGGCAUGCCUGUUCGAGCGUCAUUUGUACCUUCAAGCUUUGCUUGGUGUUGGGUGUUUGUCUCGCCUCUGCGUGUAGACUCGCCUCAAAACAAUUGGCAGCCGGCGUAUUGAUUUCGGAGCGCAGUACAUCUCGCGCUUUGCACUCAUAACGACGACGUCCAAAAGUACAUUUUUACACUCUUGACCUCGGAUCAGGUAGGGAUACCCGCAGAACUUAAGC
rnacentral:misc_RNA from 1 species